rnacentral:tRNA from 1 species
UUUAACAUAGUAUAAAUAUUAUAUUUCUUUUACAAAGAAAAGAUGAGUCCUGUUAAAA